GAUGAAGAACGCAGCGAAAUGCGAUAAGUAAUGUGAAUUGCAGAAUUCAGUGAAUCAUCGAAUCUUUGAACGCACAUUGCGCCCGCCAGUAUUCUGGCGGGCAUGCCUGUUCGAGCGUCAUUUCAACCAUCAAGCCCCAGGCUUGUGUUGGGGACCUGCGGCUGCCGCAGGCCCUGAAAACCAGUGGCGGGCUCGCUGUCACACCGGGCGUAGUAGAUUUUAUCUCGCUCAGGGCGUGCUGCGGGUUCCGGCCGUUAAAAAGCCUUUUUUACCCAAGGUUGACCUCGGAUCAGGUAGGGAUACCCGCUGAACUUAAGCAUAUCAAUAAGCGGAGGA
rnacentral:misc_RNA from 1 species